rnacentral:rRNA from 1 species
CGUCUAUAUACGUAUAGCAUAUCAAUAAGCGGAGGAAAAGAAACUAACUAGGAUUCCCCUAGUAACGGCGAGUGAAGCGGGAAGAGCUCAAAUUUGAAAUCUUAAAGGGUUUCCCUUGACGAAUUGUAGUUUAAAGAAGUGUUUUCUGUUGGAGUUUCGGUAAAAGUUCUUUGGAAUAGGACAUCAUAGAGGGUGAGAAUCCCGUAUUUGACCAUUACUUUCCAGCUGUGUGAUACACUUUCAAAGAGUCGGAUUGUUUGGGAAUGCAGUCCAAAAUGGGUGGUAAAUUUCAUCUAAAGCUAAAUACUGGCGAGAGACCGAUAGCGAACAAGUACCGUGAGGGAAAGAUGAAAAGAACUUUGAAAAGAGAGUUAAACAGUACGUGAAAUUGUCAAAAGGGAAGCGUUUGACACCAGUGUUGUUUUCUCGAAAAUCAAUUAAAAAUGGCAUGGAUUUUGUGUUGUAUUGACUUUAUCAGCUUUCUGCACUUUUUUCUUGUCUUUUUUAAUGCACUUUUCGUUUAACAAGUCAACAUCAAUUUCUUUUGUUGUAAAAGAGUCAUUGGAAGGUGGCUUUCUUUUCGGAGAAAGUGUUUAUAGCCUUUGACUUCUGCAAUCGGAGAGAUUGAGGUCUGCAGCGUAGAUCCUUCGGGGUUAGAUACAUUUGUGCUAAGUUAUAGCCUUUCAUAGACAACUUGUUGACUAUGAUCAGUCAUGUAGCUUACUCGCUUAUGUUAUUUUACCUACGCUUAGGAUGUUGACGAUCAGCUGAGCGCG